rnacentral:rRNA from 1 species
UACGGAGGGUGCGAGCGUUGUCCGGAAUCACUGGGCGUAAAGGGCGCGUAGGCGGCCUGAUAAGUAGGGGGUGAAAUCCUGCGGCUUAACCGCAGGGCUGCCUUCUAAACUGUCAGGCUGGAGCACAGUAGAGGCAGGUGGAAUUCCCGGUGUAGCGGUGGAAUGCGUAGAGAUCGGGAAGAACAUCAGUGGCGAAGGCGCUCUACUGGACCACAACUGACACUCAGGGACGAAAGCUAGGGGAGCGAAUGGG